UUGGGAAAGAUGCUGAUACCAUGUCUAAGC
rnacentral:piRNA from 1 species